rnacentral:rRNA from 1 species
AUUGAACGCUGGCGGCAGGCCUAACACAUGCAAGUCGAACGAGUGGCGGACGGGUGAGGAAUGUCUGGGAAACUGCCUGAUGGAGGGGGAGAACUACUGGAAACGGUAGCUAAUAACGCAUACCAACAGAUGGGCCCGGAUGGGAUUAGCUUGGUGGUGGGGGAACGGCUCACCAAUGCGACGAACCCUUGCGGGUCUGAGAGGAUGACCAGCCACACUGGAACUGAGACACGGUCCAGACUCCUACGGGUGGCAGCAGUGGGGAAUAUUGCACAAUGGGCGCAAGCCUGAUGCAGCCAUGCCGCGUGUAUGAAGAAGGCCUUCGGGUUGUAAAGUACUUUCAGCGGGGAGGCGUUACCCGCAGAAGAAGCACCGGCUAACGCCGUGCCAGCAGCCGCGGUAAUUC